UCCAACAUUGCACACGUCUUCUCGUAAUUUACGACUCUGCUUCAGAUUCUCUUUUGACUUUGUGUUUAUUGUACACUAUUGUGAGGUUAAAAACUGAGUGUGUAAAAAGGUUUCUGUCAAUUUUUCUGAUUAUUCAAAUGGCGCAGUUCAAGUUGAAGUUUCUUCUCUGCCUGGCGUUUUGCUUGUUUGCUGCCUGUUUGGGAACUCGAACUUGUAGAGAGAAAAAAGACUGACGAUGAACAACUUACGAUGUAUCUUGUAUUACUUUCACUCAGAGAUGGGCUAAGUUACUUUCAAUAAAUGCUUAAGUUUUA